rnacentral:rRNA from 1 species
AUUGAACGCUGGCGGCAUGCCUUACACAUGCAAGUCGAACGGUAACGGGCCUUCGGGUGCCGACGAGUGGCGAACGGGUGAGUAAUGCAUCGGAACGUACCUUUCAGUGGGGGAUAACCUAGCGAAAGUUACGCUAAUACCGCAUAUUCUGUGAGCAGGAAAGCAGGGGAACGCAAGACCUUGCGCUGAUUGAGCGGCCGAUGUCAGAUUAGCUAGUUGGUGAGGUAAAGGCACACCAAGGCGACGAUCUGUAGCGGGUCUGAGAGGAUGAUCCGCCACACUGGAACUGAGACACGGUCCAGACUCCUACGGGAGGCAGCAGUGGGGAAUUUUGGACAAUGGGGGCAACCCUGAUCCAGCCAUGCCGCGUGAGUGAAGAAGGCCUUCGGGUUGUAAAGCUCUUUCGGCCGGGAAGAAAUCGUAUGGGCUAAUACCCUGUGCGGAUGACGGUACCGGCAUAAGAAGCACCGGCUAACUACGUGCCAGCAGCCGCAGUAAAAC